AGCAGCCGCGGUAAUUCCAGCUCCAAUAGCGUAUAUUAAAGUUGUUGCAGUUAAAAAGCUCGUAGUUGAAUUUCGGGAUCAAUACGUCGGUCGUGCUUUCGGGUACGUACUGGCGUCAUUGGUUUCUCCUUUCUGACGAACCAUGAUGUCAUUAAUUUGGUGUUAUGGGGAGUUAGGACUGUUACUUUGAAAAAAUUAGAGUGUUUAAAGCAGGCAUUAGCUUGAAUACAUUAGCAUGGAAUAAUGAAAUAGGACGUUCGAUCCUAUUUUGUUGGUUUUAGGAUCAACGUAAUGAUUAAUAGGGAUAGUUGGGGGCAUUAGUAUUCAAUUGUCAGAGGUGAAAUUCUUGGAUUUAUUGAAGACUAACUACUGCGAAAGCAUUUGCCAAGGAUGUUUUCAUUAAUCAAGAACGAAAGUUAGGGGAUCGAAGACGAUCAGAUACCGUCGUAGUCUUAACCAUAAACUAUGCCGACUAGGGAUCGGAUGAUGUUAAUUUUUUAAUGACUCAUUCGGCGCCUUACG
rnacentral:rRNA from 1 species